UUCCGGUUGAUCCUGCCGGAGGCCAUUGCUAUCGGGGUCCGAUUUAGCCAUGCUAGUCGCACGGGUUCAGACCCGUGGCAAACAGCUCAGUAACACGUGGCCAAACUACCCUAUGGACGUGGACACCCUCGGGAAACUGAGGCUAAUCCACGAUACGGCUCCCACGCUGGAAGGCGGGGAGCCGGAAACGCUCCGGCGCCAUAGGAUGUGGCUGCGGUCGAUUAGGUAGACGGUGGGGUAACGGCCCACCGUGCCCAUAAUCGGUACGGGAUGUGAGAGCAAAUAGCCCGGAGAUGGUAUCUGAGACAAGAUACCAGGCCCUACGGGGCGCAGUAGGCGCGAAACCUUUACACUGCACGCCAGUGCGAUAAGGGGACCCCGAGUGCGAGGGCAUACAGUCCUCGCUUUUGUACACCGUAAGGAGGUGUACGAAUAAGGGCUGGGCAAGACCGGUGCCAGCCGCCGCGGUAAUACCGGCAGCCCGAGUGAUGGCCGCUGUUAUUGGGCCUAAAGCGUCCGUAGCCGGCCGAACAAGUCUGUCGGGAAAUCCAUCUGCCUAACAGAUGGGCGUCCGGCAGAAACUGUUCGGCUUGGGGCCGGAAGAUCCGAGGGGUACGUCUGGGGUAGGAGUGAAAUCCUGUAAUCCUGGACGGACCGCCGGUGGCGAAAGCGCCUCGGAAGGACGGACCCGACGGUGAGGGACGAAAGCUGGGGUCUCGAACCGGAUUAGAUACCCGGGUAGUCCCAGCCGUAAACGAUGAUCGCUAGGUGUGGCACAGGCUACGAGCCUGUGCUGUGCCGUAGGGAAGCCGUGAAGCGAUCCGCCUGGGAAGUACGUCCGCAAGGAUGAAACUUAAAGGAAUUGGCGGG
rnacentral:rRNA from 1 species